rnacentral:tRNA from 1 species
GGAGGUGUGGCAGAGUCUGGCUGAAUGCACUGGUCUUGAAAACCAGCGUCCACUUCGGUGGACCAGAGGUUCGAAUCCUCUCGCCUCCG